rnacentral:rRNA from 1 species
CCCUUAGGUGUUCUGGGCCGCACGCGCGCUACACUGACGGAGGCAGCGAGCAUGUCCUUCGCCGAGAGGUGUGGGGAAUCUUGUGAGUCUCCGUCGUGCUGGGGAUAGAUGGUUGCAAUUGUCGAUCUUGAACGAGGAAUUCCUAGUAAGCGCGAGUCAUCAGCUCGCGCUGAUUACGUCCCUGCCCUUUGUACACACCGCCCGUCGCUACUACCGAUUGGAUGGUUUAGCGAGAGCCUUGGAUCGGAGCCCAGGUGGUCAGCGAUGGCCGCCCGGGAAUUUGAGAAAUUGCUCCAGCUUGAUCAUCUAGAGGAAGUAAAAGUCGUAACA